rnacentral:lncRNA from 1 species
AUUCAAUAUUCAUUGUACAUGUAUAUAUUAAUAUAUUUGAUAUUACCUCAAACAAAAUGAUGAUGUUAUUUGCAGUGAUGUAUACAUUUUCUUGACAAAGUUUUUAUUUAGUAUGUACUAAUAGAUUACUUUUAUGCCUCAGUGUAUCAUGUGUCAUUACUUGAGUAUAUGUCUAAAUAAAAUCUUGUUUAUAACAAUGUUAAGUUGUACGUUUUUGUCAGGGGAUUUUUUUUCUCAAGAUUUCAACAACUUUUGAUAUGGACAAAAUUGAUCUUUAAGGAAAAUUAGUAUUAAGGACAAAAAAAAGUAAAACCUGAUAUAAAGCAGAAACUUUAACCAGUUUGCUGGACAUGUAUUUACAUAAUAAUCCUGGUGUUUUGAUGGUUUUAUUAUGAAUUGUCGAAUUUUUACAAUUUUUUAGACACUUCCACCUUUACUAAGGUUUCUUUCUUAUAUUGUCAAGUUACAACUUAGUCUAUGAUUGCUUACAUUCAUUCCAUUUGACCUGUCAUGGAUAGUUGUCUAAUUGACAAUAAUUAUACCACAUCUCCUUAUUUUUAUUAUAUAAGUAUUUAGCAGUCACCGCUACACUUUAAUUCUGAUAGCUUCAAUAGCAUGUAAGAUACAGGGUUGGGCAGAAUAUUUUCUGUACAUGGUUAUGAAAUAUUUUGUUAGAAUGAGAUACAUAAUUUUCUGGUCAUAUACCUCAUUUUAUAUAUUAAAUUAGCAUUGCACAUAUUGUAAUUUUUUAAGGCAAUGUGGAAGGACUAAUUUACAGUAAUAACAAACAGAUAAACCAUGUUCUGUUAAUGCAGACAUUAGUUAGUGCAUGUAUUAUUGCGAUUUUGUCAUUUUAGAUUAAAAUGGAUAAUAAUUUACCAAAAAAAAAAAUACUGAGAAAAUAAAUCCCAAUUCAUUCAUAUAAAAAAAUCUAAAAUAUGAGUUUAAAUUAUUGGAAUUACAAC